rnacentral:tRNA from 1 species
GGGGGCGUGGCGGAAUUGGUAGACGCGCUCGAUUCAAAAUCGAGUGGCCGCUGGCCUUGUGGGUUCGAUUCCCACCGCCCCUACCA